CACGUCGGACUAGCUUUUCAGAAAGACAACCAGGCAGCAAGCAGAAGACCCAACAACACCACAGGCAAGCUCGAGUGAAGGAAGCGACCCUAACACGAGCAAUCUUAAUGAAGACCUGCUUUUCUAAAUCACAUUUUAUGCUAGGAGUAAGUACAAAAGUACCCAGCAAGCCAUAACCAUAACUAAACAAGUAUAAAACAUGCAAGGAGUACAAAGGAAUAGGGUUCAUCAAAGGGGUUUUGAUAACAAUCCUACCAUUAAUAGUUUUGCCCUACUUUCAUAAACAUUUUAUUCAUAAAAAGGUAUAAAAUGAUAUUUUAAAAUAGUAGUAGUAAUAUUACAUCACC
rnacentral:lncRNA from 1 species